rnacentral:lncRNA from 1 species
GGCGGGUGCCGAUUAAAGGCGCCGCCUGCCGCUUUCUCCUCGCCCCCCAGCGCCGCAGCUCUCCGCCCCCUUCCCGAGUAGCGGGACCGGCCUUGAUGUAGGGACACCACCCCCCGUCUCCUUCCGCCCCAGCCCGGGAGCUCGGCUCGCUGCAGCCCCUGGCCCUCCCGUUUCCCCACCCUGCCUGCCCCGCUCUGCUCCGAACCCAUUGUAUACGGCCGGCUGCGGACUCCCAGGCCGGGCCGUGGCGGGGGCCCCGGGACCCCCGAGUGCCCCUCCGGCUGGUCCCGCGGGCCGCGGCAUCUCCGCCGCCGCCUUCCUCGCGGCGGCGGCGAGGGCGCCCUUUCCUCCCCGCGCGGGUGACGGGGACGCACCCCCACCCCGGGGCGCCCCUUCGCGGGGGGAGAGCCGGGCCCGAGCAAGUCGAGGCAGGAAAGGGCCGCCACGGACUGCCCGGCCCGCCGAUCGUUUUUAUUAUCGAGAUUAUUAUUAAAAGGGGGCGGGGACCCCAGGACGCGGGGGAGGGGCUGGAUACGCAGGUAUUUUUAUUAAACAGAUUAUUCCUGAAAUAAUAAUACGCGCAAGAUGGCUGAAGGUGGCUGUGAUGAGAGUGUUGGGGUUGGGAUUUUUUUCUUCCUGUUUUUUCUUUUUUGAUCUGAGGAUAAAGCUCUGAGGCGACAGCGGCUGCGGAGACCCUGCCCGAAGCGCCCUCCCCUCCCUUGAGAAGCCGCGGGCAGACAGACGGACCUCGGACCGAGCAACGGGUGCGGGCCCGCCCCGGACGCGUCGCCUGGGCAGCAGCCGGGGACCGCGGGCUCUCGCCUUUCUGCCGACUUCUUCCAAUUCUCAUCUUCUUUUAUUUUUUGGACAGGACCGGGAGCCCGGGCGCCCGCCCAGCGCGGAGACGGGCGCGCGGGGUCUCUCCGCGGCGGGGGCGCCGGGCCUCGGGGGAGCGCAGAAGUAGCCGCCCGGGGGUCAGGCCGGAGCGCCGCCGGGGCUUCUCCCUCCCUCCCUCGCCGGUUGCCUUUUUUUCCACUUCUCUCCCUCCCCCUUCCGUUUCUAUUUGUGAAGGGAGGAGGAAGGCAGAGGCGGGCUGGUGUCUCUGGCCGGGGACUGGAAUUUCAUCUGAAUGACUGCCCCUGCGCGCACGCAGCGCCCCGGAGUCGGCCCGCCCGCGCCCCGCAGCCCGCGCCCGGCCAGCCAGCCGGGGGACGCCUGCACCGUGGCCCGGGGACCGCCGGCCUGCCCCUCCCGCCCCGUCCGGAUCUAGCAGCCCUCGGCGCGGCCGCCCUCGCCUCCUGGCCCCGCAGACCCCGGGCUCCGGCCCCUGCGAGGGAGGUGCGGCGCCGACGAGCCAGGCAGGAGCCGCCGCUGCCGCCGCCGCCGGAAGAAGUGUGCUGCUCCCAAGCUCCGUCUGCCGCGGGGCGCGCCCCAAUGUCAGCCGCGGGGACGAGCGCAGGCCGCGGGCCGCCACUGCCCUAGCCGCGCCGACGGGGAGGCGGCCUCUUAUAUGGAAUUUGGACCCCGGCGCUCCCCUCCAAGGCUGGAGUCCCGGCCGCGGCCCUGGCGCAGUCCGCCGCCUCCCGCUAGGCGCUCGGGAGGAGGAGGAGACGCAGCCCGCUGCGCGCGCGGCGUGAGGACCGCGGCUCCCUCCUCCGGGGGGCGGGCACGCGGAAGG